GGGCGUAAGAGCUCGUAGGUGGUUCGUCACGUCGGAUGUGAAAAUCUGGGGCUUAACCCCAGACCUGCAUUCGAUACGGGCGAGCUAGAGUGUGGUAGGGGAGACUGGAAUUCCUGGUGUAGCGGUGGAAUGCGCAGAUAUCAGGAGGAACACCAAUGGCGAAGGCAGGUCUCUGGGCCAUUACUGACACUGAGGAGCGAAAGCGUGGGGAGCGAACAGGAUUAGAUACCCUGGUAGUCCACGCCGUAAACGGUGGGCACUAGUUGUGGGAACCUUCCACGGUUUCUGCGACGCAGCUAACGCAUUAAGUGCCCCGCCUGGGGAGUACGAUCGCAAGAUUAAAACUCAAAGGAAUUGACGGGGCCCCGCACAAGCAGCGGAGCAUGCGGCUUAAUUCGACGCAACGCGAAGAACCUUACCAAGGCUUGACAUAUACAGGAAUAUGGCAGAGAUGUCAUAGCCGCAAGGUCUGUAUACAGGUGGUGCAUGGUUGUCGUCAGCUCGUGUCGUGAGAUGUUGGGUUAAGUCCCGCAACGAGCGCAACCCUCGUUCUGUGUUGCCAGCAUUUAGUUGGGGACUCACAGGAGACUGCCGGGGUUAACUCGGAGGAAGGUAAU
rnacentral:rRNA from 1 species